CGCUUCACAUCGUUUGAAUAUCCCUCUGUUGCUAGAUUGUUUCUCCAUACUUUGUUGCUUCUGUAUUUCUGUGAUGAGGGUGUUGGGGAGAUUAGGCUGUUUUAGUAACAGUAUAGCUCCUCUGUUGGUAGAUUGUUUUCCAAUUCUUGGUUGCUUAUGUAUUUGUGUGAUGCACUUUUUAAUUUUUCUUCUUGACAUGUAUGUAGAUCAAACACAAGCAUACACAUCAAACCAUGCAUUCACAGAGCAGGCGCCAAAGAGACCAUCAUUGAGAAAUUUGGAUCGUUGGAGGAAGAAGUUGGUUCCUUGCCAUUUUGAGGUACGAUUUAGAAUCAGAAGCAUGCACAAAAUCUCCAUCGCCGUGGUCAGAUUCACCCCUCCAUCUUCGCUGCUCUUCAUAAAUUGAGCUCAGCCAUGCAAGUCAGAUGCCAAACCUCCUGAUCUUGGUUUCGACACACUCACAGCCUCAAGAUCGAAGACGAUGGUGUUUAGGUGUGAAAGAAAGCACCACAGAGUUCAGAUCUGAUGUUUAAAAAUAAGGAGGACACGAAGUUCUCAAAUCCAAGAUGAACAGUUAUAAUCCACGCCUUUGUAACUAUUUGUAUCCUUGAUAUAAUUUUGCCAUUAGUUUUUUUUUUUUUUAUAUUUUUUUUAUGGCAAGUAGAAAUCUUAGAAGUUAAAGAAACGAGCGAUAAAAAAUGGUUGUAUCAACAUCACCUCUUUAGUUCUACGAGAGGAACUAAAUAAAACAUUUUUCUUGAAUCAUAUAAGCCUGCAAGAAGCAAAACAAGCUUAGAGUCAUUUAUACAAUAUAAAUGCAUGAACUCUGUUCGAAUUCUUACUCUUAUUCUCUCUAAUUUUUUGCUGUUUAGUUUGGACUCCCAUCGCAGCAUCAUCAUUUGCUCUUGCAGCUGCUUUUGAUGCAGAGGUCCUCAGCCAUGACCUUUGAAUCAAAAUUCUGGUAUACCACUUGACCUUUGAUGCAGUGCUUCCCCGUACUUUCCAUUUGAGUGAUUGUUAUUUUUGUUCUCAGUAGUUUUUAGGUUUAUGGAUAAAAUAUCUGAGGCCUCUUUAUUCUUCGAUAUGAUUCCAAUUUGGCACUGUAUUAUUUCUUUAAGAACAUUUCAAAUGAGUCUAUUUGUUUCUGAGAUGUGUGUUGUAAAAUUCUCCUCUUUUUUUGGCUUCCUACUUUAGGGCUUAUUAACUUUAGAAUUUGUGCCAUAACGAUUAAUUGUUUUUACUUUUCUGAAAAAUAGAAGUCUUCUUGGUCAGUCAUUUUGCACUGGAAUUCUUCUUAGUCGGUCAUUUUUAUCUGAUGCGAAGACCUUUGUAUCAAUCAUUGUUUCAGUUUAUCAGUAGAAAUGAAUGACUUCUUUGUUAUAAAACCCCUAAUGCUGCUGAAGCACUUUUACUACUUUUUGAGGUAUAUGUAAAUUUUCAAAGAAAUCGCAUGAUACCAAUAAAUCAGAGGUUUAAACAUAGUAAAUCUUGCAAGCAAUGUGUUGGAAGAGUUUUGUGCUUCAUAGAACAGUUUUGUUCUUAAAGGCUGUCAAAAUUUGGAGUGUCGGUGGGAUAUUCAAUUGGUGGUAGGUGCUGGUGAAAGGAUCAGAUUUUGGUAGGAUUUGUUGUUGGGAAUCACAUCUUUGCAAUCACAUUUUUUGUUUUUCCCAUCAACUUUGGUAAGAUUUUGGUAGGACAUAAAUGAAGAGAACCUUCAAGACUUAAACUGCUGCCAUCUUUCUGAUGUGCCUGAUGUUUAUGUUCGGUUGAAUUUCAACUUCCCGGUAAGUUUAUUAUAAGCAAUCUCAUGGUGGUUUGGAAAUAGCAUUGACUAUUUGUAUAGUACAAACUUCUGUGUAGCACCUACUCUUCUACUUAUGCUACAGGAAUCAUGACUCAAUUUUGAAUCACUGUGCAGGUGCAUUUUAGCCACACACUGACAGCUACUGCUGCACUUUAGGUACAAUUAAACAACCAUCAUUCUCCAAUUCAUGUGAAAAACUCAUAUACAUUGUAUAUAGUUGGGACUUUAAAAAAUCCGCCAUUUUGUUUGUACAUAGGCUUUUAAUGUAAAUUCAAUAGAAUGUAGAUCCAACUUAAAGACUUAUUUUACCAUGAUGAUUCAGCUGCCU